rnacentral:hammerhead_ribozyme from 1 species
AUCCGGCUGACGAGUCCUAAAUAGGACGAAACGCGCAUCCUGGAU